rnacentral:pre_miRNA from 2 species
CACUUUAAGUUUGAGCACCAAGCCUCAGGCUUAUUGUUUGGUGUUCAACCUUACAGUGAG